GGAAAAGCAACUGAUCAAUCUCUCAUUUGUUGCCAUGAUGACACUAUAAACAGUAGCAGAGUCAAAGAGAAAAAAGGGUGUGUAGAUAACAAAUUGUGGCUAUUGAAGAUAAAGAAUCUUGAUUAUCAAAUGGCUGAGGUGAUUGGACCUAGAUUGUACAGUUGCUGCAAUUGUAAGAAUGAAGUUGCACUUCAUGAUGACAUUAUUUCUAAGGCUUUUCAGGGAAGA
rnacentral:misc_RNA from 1 species